GACGAACGCUGGCGGCGUGCCUAAUACACGCAAGUAGGACGCACAGUUUAUACCGUAGCUUGCUACACCAUAGACUGUGAGUUGCGAACGGGUGAGUAACGCGUAGGUAACCUACCUAUUAGAGGGGGAUAACUAUUGGAAACGAUAGCUAAUACCGCAUAACAGUAUGUAACACAUGUUAGAUGCUUGAAAGAUGCAAUUGCAUCGCUAGUAGAUGGACCUGCGUUGUAUUAGCUAGUAGGUAGGGUAAAGGCCUACCUAGGCAACGAUACAUAGCCGACCUGAGAGGGUGAUCGGCCACACUGGGACUGAGACACGGCCCAGACUCCUACGGGAGGCAGCAGUAGGGAAUCUUCGGCAAUGGGGGGAACCCUGACCGAGCAACGCCGCGUGAGUGAAGAAGGUUUUCGGAUCGUAAAGCUCUGUUGUUAAGGAAGAACGAGUGUGAGAAUGGAAAGUUCAUGCUGUGACGGUA
rnacentral:rRNA from 1 species